UUCACCAUAUCACCCUGCAACACCCAACUGACAACCCACUGAAGUUAAGCAGGUAUGAGCCUGGUCAGUACCUGGAUGGGAGACCUCCUGGGAAAGCUAAGGGUGCUGGUGGAA
rnacentral:rRNA from 1 species